rnacentral:rRNA from 1 species
UACGUAGGUGGCAAGCGUUUGUUCGGAUUCAUUGGGCGUAAAGGGUGCGUAGGCGGCGCGGUAAGUCGGGUGUGAAAUUUCGAGGCUUAACUUCGAAACUGCAUUCGAUACUGCCGUGCUUGAGGACUGGAGAGGAGACUGGAAUUUACGGUGUAGCGGUGAAAUGCGUAGAUAUCGUAAGGAAGACCAGUGGCGAAGGCGGGUCUCUGGACAGUUCCUGACGCUGAGGCACGAAGGUCAGGGGAGCAAACGGG